CAUCUCUCCACACCAGCCAACAUCAUGGCAGCAUUAGGACUCCUAUGGCUUGUGGCCUCCACAGCAUCCAUCCUUGUCAAAUGUGAAGACGCAAAUUCUGAACACAAAAAGAUCUACCCAGCAAAGAUCUUUGGACCGUCUAAUGUGACUGAAGG